AACGAACGCUGGCGGCAUGCCUAACACAUGCAAGUCGAACGAGACCUUCGGGUUUAGUGGCGCACGGGUGCGUAACGCGUGGGAACCUGCCCUUAGGUUCGGAAUAACUCCCCGAAAGGGGUGCUAAUACCGGAUAAUGUCUUCGGACCAAAGAUUUAUCGCCUUUGGAUGGGCCCGCGUUGGAUUAGCUAGUUGGUAGGGUAAAAGCCUACCAAGGCGACGAUCCAUAGCUGGUCUGAGAGGAUGAUCAGCCACACUGGGACUGAGACACGGCCCAGACUCCUACGGGAGGCAGCAGUGGGGAAUAUUGGACAAUAGGCGAAAGCCUGAUCCAGCAAUGCCGCGUGAGUGAUGAAGGCCUUAGGGUUGUAAAGCUCUUUUACCCGGGAUGAUAAUGACAGUACCGGGAGAAUAAGCUCCGGCUAACUCCGUG
rnacentral:rRNA from 1 species